rnacentral:rRNA from 1 species
GGCUCAGGACGAACGCUGGCGGCGUGCUUAACACAUGCAAGUCGAGCGGGGAUAAACCAGAUGAAAGCUUCGGCCGGAUCAGGUUAUUCCAGCGGCGGACGGGUGAGUAACGCGUGAGCAAUCUGUCCCAGACAGGGGGAUAACACUUGGAAACAGGUGCUAAUACCGCAUAAGACCACGACCUCACAUGAGGUUGAGGUAAAAAGGAGCAAUCCGGUUUGGGGUGAGCUCGCGUCCGAUUAGCUAGUUGGCGAGGUAACGGCCCACCAAGGCGACGAUCGGUAGCCGACCUGAGAGGGUGAUCGGCCACAUUGGAACUGAGACACGGUCCAAACUCCUACGGGAGGCAGCAGUGGGGAAUAUUGGGCAAUGGGCGAAAAAGCCUGACCCAGCAACGCCGCGUGAGGGAAGAAGGUUUUCGGAUUGUAAACCUCUGUCCUCAGGGACGAAGGAAGUGACGGUACCUGAGGAGGAAGCCCCGGCUAACUACGUGCCAGCCGCAGC